UUAAAAUUAUUUUCUUUUAUCAAUUUAAUAUAAAAUCGCACAUUAUUAAUUAAUUAGGCGCGAGCACGUUUGACAGUUCGACCAAGCCUGGAGCACAGAUUAGAGAGGUUAAACACCCCCGUUUUUAAGGUAACUCAAAAAGUGCAAAAUUUAUAAGGUCUCCUUCAGAACACAGAAUACACACAGUAGGCGUUCUAUAUAAACUCAUGUAGACAACGAUUUUGAAAAAAAAUUUAUUCAAAAAACUGUUUAUAAAUGACUAACUUUAUAACUCUUCCAUUUCAUCUGAUGCAGUAUCGGCGUUGAAUGAGUUAUUGUUUAAUCCUUCAGUUUUUCCGUUUCCUGAGUCAUUAAAGUCUGAGUCAGAACUGCAAAUAAGAUGUUAGAAAUAACUGAGUUUAAACUACUGUUUAACUUUCUUACCUAGUAGACGAAUUGUGGUUUGUGGAUGUUCGUUUCAUAAUAGAAGGCAGUUUGGAAUUGAAAACAAUUGCUUGUCUAUUAUCAUAAAAUUUACAAAUGCCUUUUUCGAAGAGAUUAUCCUCUUUAAAUUGUAAAAUCACAGUUUCGUUCUGUAUGCUGCGACUGAUGACUUCUUCACAUGGAAUAACUAGUUGUCUGUUGCCACCAGAAUUGACUUCAAUUUGAAAUUUAUCUUCAAUUUUCACAACUGUUAUAUUUCCUUUAACUGUUUUGAAUGGAUUUCCAUCAACCAUGGUUAUUUCACCAUCUCCAAUGUUACAUGAAUCAACCAUUUUCUGUUUUCUUCUUCUCUUUUGGAUAAUGAAAAGUUCGGUUAACGCAGCUGAUGGCUUGAAAUCACUAAAAAGAUAUAAUAAAAAAUGCAACUUAUUGGUACAAGCAAAAAAUAAUCACUUGCGAUAAUCGACCUAACCUCACUAGAUGAAAUUUAAAAUCAUAUCGUGCAACAUAUUUCAAUAUUACUUACCGAUAAUGAUACUCCAUGUUGCUCUAGUUAUAGAAAGCUAUUAAUUGUUGAUAAAAAAAUAAAGAACGUUAGGACCUUUUAAAAGUGUAAAAAUUUAGAAUAUAUUUACGGUUGUUUACAUGUGCACAGAACUUACUGCCACAGAAUAACAGGUUUUACAGAAACGCAUCCGUCCUUGUCCCGAUAGAGCGAAAGCACAGAUUAGAGAGGUGCCUGGAGGAAAAACAAUUCUAACCUCACAACGUAAACUGCAUUUGUUGUUCGGUGAUAGAGUAUAAAAAAACUGUUAAUUUGUUGUUUGUGAGCUGAAUUUUGUGACCAAACUCGUAAAAACUAUGCCUAACUUUUGUAUGGUGGUAAAUUGUGGAAGUGUCGCUUCCAGAGAUGUUAAUAUACGUUUUUUCAGGAUACCUUCUAUAUUUACGCCAGGGAAAAAGCUCUGCGCCUUGUCACAACGACGUAGAGAAAUGUGGAUCAAAGCUUUAAGAAGAGAAGAUCUAACGGAUACGAAAAUGAAAUAUGGACGUAUUUGUUCACGUCAUUUCCACUCUGGAAAACCAGCAGCUUUGAAGGAUACCACUCAUCCUGACUGGGUUCCUUCGAAAAACAUGGGUUACAACGUUACUGGCAAAAAAAUUAGAAAGGUAUCAGCGUUGUAAAGCUAGAGAAGUACAGGUAUUUCUUUUUUUUUGCUUUGUGGCAACCCAGAAGAAUUAAUUUUUAUUUUUGCUUUAUUUUGCUUUUUUUGUAGUGUAGUAGGUAUUCCAGAAUCUGGAUUUUUUUUCCUUUUAGAAUUCGCAGAUUUCUUCUUUUUUUUCUAAACACAUUUUAGCUGUGCCAUCUUGAUUUGUAGAAAGAGGAAGCUGCUGCUACAACUAGUUCUCCAACUGUAGUAGCAGAAAUUGAAAACAUCGAGCAUGUUAAACCUUCCUAGGAACAGUUGGAGCUUGCACUACGUAAUGCCAAUGAUGAAAUUUAUAAAUUAAGAACAGAACUAAAAAAAUAUAAGAUGGAAGAAUAUUUUAUUCAUAAUGAUGAUGGGUGCAUCCAUAAUCCACUGCUCUUGUUUUAAAACUGUAUGUCAUUGGAUAACACACAGACUUGAGUAAAGAUAAAGAGGGAUUCGCGAUAUUUGUUCGGCAACAACUUUUUAAUUUGGACGCUGUAAUCCUUCCAGCUCUAUAGUAAAACCAAUCUUUACACUUCGCUUGUUCUUUAGUCGUAUUGUGAAUCUCCUUACAAUCAGCAACUGGUAUAGAAAAAUCCAAAGAGGCACCUGAAACACCUCACUUAAGCUUUUAUGAAUGUGAUCUUCACUGAAUAAAGUUGUAAUCCAA